CCUUGCGCGAUCUAGCGUAGGACAAGGGAGCGCAUCGGAGCAUGAGAUGCUCUGAUGCUAACAUUAGGGGGGCUGCCUGGGUGAAAAUAUGGGUAUGUCCAGGUUCAACUCUGAACCCGGACAACCCCUUUAAUAACAUAUAAGUGGCAGAU